UUAAUAAUCACACUUGAAUAUGUUACCUAAACCUGUUUUGCUUUUGUAUUUCUUCCAUGUUCAUCCUUCCUUUGCCUCCUCAAAUUCUUCUUUGGCCUUAGUCCUUAUAUUUCUGUCCUCUGCAGGUUUUGUGCUGUUUGCCUCUCGGGUAGGUCCCUGCAUGAAUCUUACCUUCGGCAGUGAGCUGAGAAAAUUAGCCCCACCUUUUUUUGCUGCCCUACUAUUCGAUGAAAUGCUUGUGCCCUGAUGGAUUCCGUUCUUUUUUUGUUGGUGUUCCUUCUCAUCCUGCCUGCUUUGCAAGUCUUUGUUUCACCUAUUGUCUCGGUUCAAUUGAUUGUCCAUGCCUUGGCACGUUCUGUGUAUGAUGUAAAUUCGGAACAAUGGAUUUGGUUUUCCGAACCAUAAAACUUAUGUAGCUUGAAUUAGCAGAUUGCACCAUGAAAAGACAUACUUUCCUUUAAAAAAUAAUGUGUAUCAGUACCUCUUUAGACCCUGCUGCUUGCGAUCUGAACCAGUAUAUACUUUUCUACAGUUUAGAUGUUAUAUCAGUUUGCAGAUGAAUUCGUGGCUAAUACCAGCAUUGUGAAUUUUUCAUGUUUGUCUUCCUUUAAACCACCAUAAAACUUAUCUAGCUUGAAUUAGCAGAUUGCACCAUGAAAAGACAUAUUGUCCUUUAAAAAUAAUGUGUAUUAGUACCUCUUUAGACCCUGCUGCUUGCGAUCUGAACCAGUAUAUACUUUUCUACAGUUUAGAUGUUAUAUCAGUUUGCAGAUGAAUUCGUGGCUAAUACCAGCAUUGUGAAUUUUUCAUGUUUGUCUUCCUUUAAACCUGAUGCAUGCAUGUGCAUGAUGCUCGUUGAUGACUAUUCCAUUUGUUUUACUGACCAAUUUUUGAGAGGGAGGGUGGAGGGAGUUGGCUCUUGUGUUUGUUGAUUGCUUUGCAGAUUUAUUGGUGUUUGGUUCAGAUAGAACAGCUCCAUUUGCAUUAGCAACUGUUUGUGGAGUCCCUCGCUGCUACAGGUAUGUUUGCUCUAUAGAAUCUAUAAUAUGCAUUAUGUGCUACUGCUUUUUUUAAUUAAACCAUGAAAAAUUUAUGAUAUAGAAGAGAUUAUAAGGGGCGUCUCACGAGCACAUGAUAGCGAGAGAAUUACUCUCUGACAAUGCCUUAAUUACAGAAUGGGGUGAAGAAUGCAAGGAAGUUGCCCAUUGUCUCUCGUCACCCGACCAAGGAU
rnacentral:lncRNA from 1 species